rnacentral:rRNA from 1 species
UACGUAGGGGGCAAGCGUUGUCCGGAAUCAUUGGGCGUAAAGAGCGUGUAGGCGGCCCGAUAAGUCCGCUGUGAAAGUCCAGGGCUCAACCCUGGGAUGCCGGUGGAUACUGUCGGGCUCGAGUCCGGAAGAGGAGUGUGGAAUUCCUGGUGUGGCGGUGAAAUGCGCAGAUAUCAGGAGGAACACCAAUGGCGAAGGCAGCACUCUGGGACGUGACUGACGCUGAGACGCGAAAGCGUGGGGAGCAAACGGG